ACCCGUCACUGCGGUGACAAUGACGCCUGCGGUGAUAUAGUCAGGCAUGAGAGACACGAGUGGGGAGAAUACGUGAAUACGAGACUGAAAAAGCGAUGACUGGUUUCGGGGCAGGGGACGCGGUCAUAAGCUGCCAACGGCCUUUGUGAUGGUUAGAUCUCAGCCCUUCGUCCCUUAUCAUAGCCCACUCGCUGCUCCUCUCUCCUCCUCUCGCUAUCCUCCCAUUGCUUCCGUUUCUAAUCGCCUCCUCCUCUGUCUCUCUUAUCUCCAAUGGCGACCUUCGCUUCUUUGUCUCAGUAGACGGGCCAAAAAGGAAGAGCAAAGCCUCUUUUCUAUCGGCGGAACGAACGCUGCUCUUGUGAAUUCGUGGAGCCCCUCUGUUCUUCCAGGUUCAGUUGGACUCUCUUUCAAAUACUUGGACAGGUUAUAUAGCAAUAAGGCAGUAUCUUCUUGAACCAGAAGCAGGGCAGACAAGGUAAAAUAAAUGCAUGCCUAUAAUCAAGUGAUUGGUAGCAGGCAGCAAGAGCUGUAAAAACUAAGUACAAUUUGAAAAAUUUUAAGUGAGUAACUUGUUAGUUGCUUGUUAUAAAUUAGCAUAGUUUGCUCACUAUAUUAUGUUAGACCUGAUUUAUUGCCAAUAUUUACAUGAAACAAUUGGCUCUA